AUGGUACACUUUAAAAUGGAGAGUUUUAUGAUAUGUGAAUUAUAUCUCAAUAAAGAAAUGAAUCACCUCAAAAGAACAAAAGACAUUUGCGUUUCUUCACCCUCUGUUUUCCUUCUCCAGCACCCGAGGAGCAGAACCUGGAAGUGGGACCAGUGGGAGGGAGUCAGUCAGCAGACCUCGCCUCACACGAGGUCCCCGCUGCCCGUCCUAAUCUUCUAGCCUGUGAACCAACAGAAUAGUGGUGGUGCAGCACCACUUAAGACCGUGCUAAAAAUGCACUUGACGCAGCUGCAGUGAGAACACAGCCAACGUCGCAGAACGUCCCCUAACAGCCUCCUGUCUGGUGCUCAGCUGUAAACUUCCCAUUGGUUGGCUGUUCCCACCUGGGAUGACCCACUUGACUUGUUCUUGACUUUCAUGAAGGAACCACUGUCUCACCCUGAAGCAUCUACUCAAACGCAAGCCAGGGCUCAAACGCUGCUGUGUCUUGUCAGCGUUAACUACAGUGCGUCUGUUUCCAGCACCGUGGCAGCAACUAGGACAAGGCUUUCUUGCUGAACCUGUAUAGUGACGCAGUCCACACAGCUUCACUUGCUGUCGUUGCCUUUGUUAGGGACAGUUUCAAAGGCAGCAUUCCAAAUCAGAGAUCCUAAGCCAGAGGACGAAACGCACACACAGAGUACUGGAACCAUGAUCUCAGGCACAUGGAUAUAAGAGCCAGAUCAUUGAGACGCCACCAGCGGAGAGGUAGGAAUGCUCCUUAAUGGUGGAGGAACCUUUCCCAGGUGACACACCCCUUCCUCUCUCUGAGUCCCAACUUUUGUAGUGAUAACGCUGUCACACAAAUACAGGAAGCCAUGACAGGUGUACCCUGUAAUUUGGGUAAAUUGUCUAAGUAUCCUUCUCAAGUGUCUGAGAGGCGUUAUGACCAAAUACGCCUUAGAUUACAACACAGGAGAGCAGAGAGAUUUUCCUUGAUGGAUCAGUUGAGAGAAAGGGUGUUAGUAGUCAUUUCCUGUGUUGUGGCACGAUCAGCGAUAUUUUAACUGGCUUCACAGAAAACCUAUCAUCCUGGAUGGCGUAAUUUUUACUGAUGAGGUUGUUAAUUGUGAGCUCGUCAGAAGCGAAAAUUUAAUUUCCACGGAUGAAUCUUAUCAUAACUGGAGCUGGUGGGAUUUUUAGCAGAAAACUUUAAUAGAAGGGACCUCCUGGUAUCCAGGGAAGGGGCACAAACUCAGUUAGUUACAUAUCCUAAGGCUCCUCCAGCCUUACUGAGUCCAACAGAUGUGUUAUCUAUACAAAGUCUAUCCCAGAAUUAGGAGAAUUGGGAUGGUCAUUUAAAAAAGAAAAUGUUUUGUAAUUUAAAGUAGUUAACAAAAGAAAAUGUAAAUCAGUAGGCCUAUUUAUAGGUACUGAACUUGAUCCAAAGAGCUUGGGUUCAGCAGUCACUUCCACGCCGACCUCUGCUCUGGAGGAGGAAUGUGCUGGCAGUCCUGACUCAGCUGUUCGAUGCAGCCUGACAACCAUGUCUGCGCUGAUGUUUGUCCUGCCACGGUUCAACUUACCAUUUCAUUCCCUAUAGUGUCCAUAAUCAAGAUUCCCUGGUGUGUCCUUUCAGACUUUAUGAUAUUUCUUCCAGGAAACUCAGCCUCUGAUCUGGCGCUUCUAGAAAGGACCUGUAGGCAAAUGUAAGCAGAAAAAUUACAAACCAGCCUGUGGUUGAUAUGACUAAAUGGCUCUGGUUAAUUUUUAUAAUCAGCAUACAGAAUGGAGGGAAGUAGAAUCCUCUAUUAAGAUAUAAUACUUAUGAUUUAUUCACUGUAUAAGGGUCUGGGAGCAUGGUUUUUCUGAACCUGAAAAGUAUAUAACCACUGAAACACACUUAUAUAAAUAACAAGUUACUUAUAUGUAAUUCAACUAGAAAGACUGAAGUUUUCUUUUGACAUUUUCAGGUUUUAAUAUUUUGGUUUGGUAAACAAAAUCACUCUCGUAUGAGUUUUCAGUUUUUUAAACCUGUGCUAUCUAAUAUAAUAGCCGCUAGCCACAUGUAGCUAUUUAAAAUUAAAUUAUUUAAAAUCAGAUAAAAUUAAAAAUUCAGUUCCUCAGACAUACUAGUCACAUUUCAAGUGCUCAACAACUACACGUGGCUGAUAGUUAUAGUAUUGGACAGUGCAGAUCUGGGACAUUUCCACUGUCUCAGAAAGCUCUAUUGGACAGUGCUAAUCUAGAGAAUGCCAUAUGAAUCUGGUUGUAUUCAUUGCCUCUCCUUUGUAAGAUGAAGAACCAAAUCUUGUGUUUCACCAUGGCUGCCCAGGAAACCCCAAAGAUAUUUUAGCUGUAAAAGACAUCUUAACAGUUUCAUGAUUGCAAAUUUGGGAAAGAGCAAUAUUAAAAAGAGUCAUCAGGAUAGAUUGGUCACAAAAACAAGAUGUUGUUGUCUUGGAACAGUUGCUGUCUUGGCUGUGUCAUUAAACAGAGUAACAAUAAAAUAUUUAAAAUAAAGAGAAGUUAAAAUAAU
rnacentral:lncRNA from 1 species